rnacentral:rRNA from 1 species
UACGAAGGGUGCAAGCGUUGCUCGGAAUUACUGGGCGUAAAGCGUGCGUAGGUGGUCGUUUAAGUCUGUCGUGAAAGCCCUGGGCUCAACCUGGGAAUUGCGAUGGAUACUGGGCGACUAGAGUGUGGUAGAGGAUAGUGGAAUUUCCGGUGUAGCAGUGAAAUGCGUAGAGAUCGGAAGGAACAUCUGUGGCGAAGGCGACUAUCUGGGCCAACACUGACACUGAGGCACGAAAGCGUGGGGAGCAAACAGG